rnacentral:rRNA from 1 species
UACGAAGGGUGCGAGCGUUGUCCGGAAUCACUGGGCGUAAAGGGCGCGUAGGCGGCGCAGGAAGUCAACGGUGAAAGUUCGGGGCUCAACCCUGAAUCGGCCGUCGAUACUCCUGGGCUCGAGCACUGUAGAGGCAGAUGGAAUUCCGGGUGUAGCGGUGGAAUGCGUAGAGAUCCGGAAGAACACCGGUGGCGAAGGCGGUCUGCUGGGCAGUUGCUGACACUGAGGCGCGACAGCGUGGGGAGCGAACAGG